GACGUAGGGCGCGAGCGUUGUCCGGAUUUAUUGGGCGUAAAGAGCUCGUAGGCGGCUUGUUGCGUCAGCUGUGAAAACCCGCAGCUCAACUGUGGGCUUGCAGCUGAUACGGGCAGGCUUGAGUUCGGUAGGGGAGACUGGAAUUCCCGGUGUAGUGGUGAAAUGCGUAGAUAUCGGGAGGAACACCAGUGGCGAAGGCGACUACCUGGCCUGCUCUUGACGCUGAGGCGCGAAAGCUAGGGGAGCAAACGGG
rnacentral:rRNA from 1 species